rnacentral:pre_miRNA from 1 species
UUCCCUUCCGAACAGCCAUAUUUCGUGUUUGUGCGUGAAUCUAACGAUCCUUAAUCUUAUCACAUCACCAGUAAUCAUACUUUUUGUUUGUCUGUUUGUUGCCAGACAGGAUCUGUUGGUUCGUUAGAUUCACGCACAAACUCGUAAUAUGUCUCU